GCUUUCUCCCACACCUUCUUCCAUCCCCUAGGUCAUUUAUUAUUGCCCUAACUACAAAACACUACCAAGACUGGUAAACUGUCCCCUGCUGACAGACAAGGCCAUAAAACUGCUGAACACAAACCUGAAAGAAAACCACAUUAAUUAUUGGAAGAAACUUGGAACUGCUUGGACCGUAACACGGGAUUCUUGGCCAGAAUACGAACCUGUACCUCCAGCCUAUACACCCACUUUUUAUGAUGGCUGGCAGCUCCCCGAAAUCACCCAUUUUGAGCCAGUCAAGACGGAUGCUAAGGACCAAGUGGAGCAGCGGAUUGGAGGGCCUCAGUCAUCCCGCUCCCUUUUCCCACGUCUGUACAUCCAUUCUUCUCCUCUGGAAUCUACCCGCUGUGUUGUGGACUUUACCCGUGAGAAGAAAGGAGAGAAGGUUACAAAACCCCUAGAAUUUCAGAGUCAGAAAAGACCUCAGGGGCUGUGUAAUCCAGCCUAUGCCUAAAGAAGAAUGCCUUCUACAACGUGCCCCACCCUCUGGUCCUCUGGCCGGCAUGAUGGGGGGCCUACUGCCUCUCAAGGCAGCUUCCUCUGCUUUUUGUGAGAAAGCUCUUCCUGACAUCAGCCUAAAUCUGCUUCUUUGCACCUGAGACUCCUUGCUCCUCGACCUGCUCUCUAGGGCCCAACCACACCUUCCUUUCCUGUGUACACAGUCCCAUCCCCUUUGACUCAUCACUACAUGACAUCAAAUUGAGCACCUUCAUCAUUCUGGUUAAGGCAAGAAGUGACAGUCUUCAUUCCUGCCUCUUACUAAAGCCCAGAGCCAUUCCUCAAUCCUACAUAUUUAUGUUUUCUUCUCAUCUGUGCCCAGCCCCCAAAUCCUGAGCCUUUGUCCUGCUUCUUCCCUGACUCCACUUAUCCCAAUAAACCAGUG
rnacentral:lncRNA from 1 species